AGGACGAACGCUGGCGGCGUGCUUAACACAUGCAAGUCGAGCGGAAAGGCCCUUCGGGGUACUCGAGCGGCGAACGGGUGAGUAACACGUGAGCAACCUGCCCCUGGCUCUGGGAUAGCCUCCGGAAACGGGGAUUAAUACCGGACAUUCUCCUUCUUCCGCAUGGUUGAGGGUGGAAAGGUUUUUUUCGGCCGGGGAGGGGCUCGCGGCCUAUCAGCUUGUUGGCGGGGUAACGGCCCACCAAGGCGACGACGGGUAGCC
rnacentral:rRNA from 1 species